CCUCGUCUAGACGAUCGUGC
rnacentral:snRNA from 1 species